rnacentral:rRNA from 1 species
UACGGAGGAUGCAAGCGUUAUCUGGAUUUAUUGGGUUUAAAGGGUGCGCAGGUUGUUUGAUAAGUCAGUGGUGAAAGUCUGUCGCUUAACGGUAGGAUUGCCAUUGAUACUGUUAGACUUGAAUAUGGAUGAGGUAGGCGGAAUGUGUAGUGUAGCGGUGAAAUGCAUAGAUAUUACACAGAACACCGAUUGCGAAGGCAGCUUACUAAUCCAUCAUUGACGCUGAGGCACGAAAGCGUGGGGAUCAAACA